rnacentral:rRNA from 1 species
GUUAUAUGGUCAAGUGAAGAAGCGCAUACGGUGGAUGCCUUGGCAGUCAGAGGCGAUGAAAGACGUGGUAGCCUGCGAAAAGCUUCGGGGAGUCGGCAAACAGACUUUGAUCCGGAGAUGUCUGAAUGGGGGAACCCAGCCAUCAUAAGAUGGUUAUCUUGUACUGAAUACAUAGGUGCAAGAGGCGAACCAGGGGAACUGAAACAUCUAAGUACCCUGAGGAAAAGAAAUCAACCGAGAUUCCCUUAGUAGUGGCGAGCGAACGGGGACUAGCCCUUAAGUGGCUUUGAGAUUAGCGGAACGCUCUGGAAAGUGCGGCCAUAGUGGGUGAUAGCCCUGUACGCGAAAAUCUCUUAGUCAUGAAAUCGAGUAGGACGGAGCACGAGAAACUUUGUCUGAAUAUGGGGGGACCAUCCUCCAAGGCUAAAUACUACUGACUGACCGAUAGUGAACUAGUACCGUGAGGGAAAGGCGAAAAGAACCCCGGAGAGGGGAGUGAAAUAGAUCCUGAAACCGUAUGCGUACAAGCAGUGGGAGCC